UAUUAAGAAACAAAACAGUCAUAUCAUAUAUAUGUAUGGUGGAGCUGAGUGUGAUUUUGAAUAUUAUAUAUAUCACAUAUUUUGUCACUGUGAUUUUUCAAAAAUAUUUUUCUCCUAUCCUAUAGCCACAGAAUUUUCAAACGCCCCCUUAAUCAAACAUUAAUCAAACACAUCCAAAAAAAGCCAUCCAUUCUUGUGUAUACCAAAGCUAAGAGUACUCGCAGGAGGUUGUAGUUAACAGCGGAAGAAGUUUUUAAAUGAAAUGAAAUACCAUUAUUGCUAGUAAAGUCCAGUAAA